UGCGUAGGGUGCGAGCGUUAAUCGGAAUUACUGGGCGUAAAGCGUGCGCUAGGCGGUUGUGUAAGACAAGGUCGUGAAAUCCCCGGGCUUAACCUGGGAACGGCGCUUGUGACUGCACGGCUAGAGUACGGCAGAGGGGGGUGGAAUUCCACGUGUAGCAGUGAAAUGCGUAGAUAUGUGGAGGAACACCGAUGGCGAAGGCAGCCCCCCUGGGGCCAGUACUGACGCUCAUGCACGAAAGCGUGGGGAGCAAACAGGAUUAGAUA
rnacentral:rRNA from 1 species